GCUGGAUAGCUUAGUUGGUUAGAGUGUUGUGUUGCUAACACAAAGGUUGCAGGUUUGAUCCCCAUAUGGGACAGCUGCA
rnacentral:tRNA from 1 species